AACGCAGAUUGCGCUCUCUGGUAUUCCGGGGAGCAUACUUGUCUGAGGGUCGGUAAAACCAAAACCUCUUUUUGGAGGGUCGAUGGGCGCAUCCGUUAGCCAUUUUCUUUUGGGUAUCGGUCGCCUGAAAUAAUAUAGCUUCUGCGACAGCAGCGGAUUGCGUAGUAAGCGUUUUUUACACAAAUGCAUCUCGCGAUUAAGCGGUGGCGGUAAGUUAAUAAUAGUUUAGGGACAUGACAUUUUGUCGUGCUUCUCCUAAUCUUUGUCUCGACCUCAGAUCAAGUAAGAACACCCGCUGAACUUAA
rnacentral:misc_RNA from 1 species